rnacentral:lncRNA from 1 species
GUAUAAAAAUCGAAGCGCGCGCUGGAAACCGUUGCCAACGUCUGGCGGUGAGUGUCCCGCGCGCGCCGCCAACAUCUGUUCGGUGGUCCCACGAAUCCAUUAUGGCGUGUAUCGGCUGCCGCCGCCGCUAUCCGUGAUAGCAGCGAACCUGGUGUGCGCGUGUCGUGUUUGAUCCUCGGGUUUUUUUUUCCGAUUUUUUUUUUUUACACUUCUCUCUUCUUCGCGUUGUCGUUUUUCCACCGCCGUACGGGUUCGGAAUUGGUUUUGAGGCGUGUGUGUGCGAGUUUGUGCGUAAUUGCGCGUGCGUGUAGCAUGCGUGUUUCAGUGUCGGUUCGCCGUGCGAGUGUGUGUCCGAUUUUGCUCCGUGUGCGUGCGUACGAGUUGUGGUGGUGAUGCCCAAACGGACGAAAAUAAUAAUAAUAUCGUCGUGUAGAUCUACUGCUGCUGCCGCUGCCGCUGCCGCCGCCGUCGACGCUUCAGUGUAAUAGUCGAAAAAAUAAAAAAAAAAAAAGAAAGAAACGCGUUCGUCUCGCUGCCGCCGCCCGCUAUUCCGCCGCCGUCGUCGUCCGCGCGCACACACACACACCGGGCGUUUUCGAAACGGGUCCGGGACACACAAUAAUAAUAUUUAAUGAAAUAUUUCAAACCGAACCGCCGCGCACACACGUCGUGAUAAUAAUAUUAUUGCUAAAUUCGUACGUAACUACACAAUGUCAUUUUAACGAUCCGUUUCUCAUGGAUAGAAUGAUAGUGACGAUAAUGCAUUUAAUUCGCAUCACAAUAAUAUUCGCGACGUUAUAAUUACAAUUUUAUUUAUACCUAUACACUUUUAUAAAUAUAUAUUCCUUUUCUUUUUUUCCAACUCGACAAUACAACAUUUCAAACCGUUCCGCCAGAGUUUUGCGUGUUUAUAAUAUCAUUUUUUACUCUACGGCCGUCAUCGUCUACAUCACAAACGCGCCAUGGGUCACACACGAUAGUUCCGAGUUCGGUACAUCCGGUGGAAAAAGCCAGUUUAUCGUCGUGUCGCGUCGUGUCGUGUCCGCAGUCCGUCUCCCCUUUGGGUCGUCGCGCUCUCCGUACGCUCGCACGUGAGAUAACAACAGACGUGCAACAACACCAGAGCCUCGUAGUGAACAGGUACAACUCGUCAUGUCUGUGAGUCAACAGUUUUGCCUGCGAUGGAACAACCACCAGAGGACCCUGAUUUCGGUGUUCGACAGUCUGCUGGAAAGUGGCACCCUAGUCGAUUGCACGCUGGCCGCCGAGGGACGGUAUCUAAAAGCGCACAAAGUCGUUUUGUCGGCCUGCAGCCCAUACCUGGGGGUAAGUACGAGAGUACGGUUGGAUAUUAUAAGUCGUAGUACGGAAUCGGAUUUUUUUCGUAAGGAGAUACCCGUUAGUAUCGAGUAUCUUACAAGUAUAUUGGUAUGUGUUUGCGCACGCGUCUAUGUGUGUGUGUUUCGUUUAGGUACUCGUAAUUAUUUCCCUUUGGAAUUCCCGUUGCCAAAGAUAAAAAACAAACAUUAGGUACUUUCCACGUUUUUAUGUGCAGGUAAAUUACCUAGAACUACCGUAAAUAAAAAUAAAUUGUCCGCUCUCCCCCCGGCAUAAUGUUAAUAAAUCUCAGCGAGCAGGAUCUUGACGAAAGUUAGGUAUUCAUUAUUAUGAUUAUUUAUUUUUUUUUUUUAGGGCAUUUCCGUUUUGUUUUGGCCUACUUACGCGCGUGUGUGCGCCGUACGGUGUCUGCACAUGAUUUUCACCAGGCGGUAUGAAAACCAGUUCCACACCCCUUCACUUUUUUUCCUUCCUUUUCCUGUCCCGUUAUUCGCACACAGUGCAAUGACAAAGGAAAUUUCUCUUUUUAUUUUUUUCUUUUUUUUUUUCGUGAAUCGAAUUCCCUUCUACAGUAAUUGGCAAAUAUUUUAUGCCCAACGGAUAAUAAUAAUAGGUAUCUACUAAAGAAUUGACAUACACACGCGCGCCCGCAAAUACACACCUAUUUAUUUACAAAUCAAAUUAAUUAUAAUAUACUUAGACAUGUGUGUGUAUACAGGUAUUUGUCGAGGUAUUUUUGAUAGUAACAUUUUUUUUUAUUUAUUAAUAUUCUAUUUACACCUAGGUAUGCUAUUGAUUGAAUAUAAAUAAUACAAAACACGAUACCUAGGUACUUUGUUUUUGUUGAUAUUAAACAUGUGUUGAUUACAAAUUCCUAAAACAAAUAUUAGAAUUUGUAGAAAAAAAUUUAAAAAACUACUUCUUCACUAUCAUACUGAAUAACAUUAUUUUAUCUAUUUGGAUAUUACCUAAAUAUGAACAUAUAAUAUAGAUAAUCUAGAUAAUAAUAUUUACACAUUUUGUAUGCCUAAAUAUUAUUACAGGGGAACUUGACAUUCACCGAUAGAAAUAUAAACAAUGUAAGGUGAUUCAAACUUUAAACUAAGUACCUACCUAAUUGUUUCAAUACUGAAUAUCAACAUUUUUUUUUUAGCUUUGAAAAAUUGGUGGAUACUGUACCUACCUUUAAUUACUAAUACUAUUUAUCUGCCUACUUCUAAUGAUUGAGGUAUAUCAGUUAGUUCUUCUAAAACAACUUUGUACAUACUACCUAUUCUACGCUAUUAUAGUUAUACUUAAAUAUUGUAUUAUAUUUAAUACAUCAAAAUAACAUUUUAACCAUUAGGUAUUAAUACAAGUUGUAAUCUAAUAAGAUUAUGACCUAUAAUAAUACAAAUUCAACAUUUUUUUCUGACCAAAUACACCUAGGUACCUAGGUAUUUCAGUAUUUGUGUUUCGUUAGUGUAAUAAAUACUUAGCGAAAGUUAAAAAUAAAUGAAAAAUAUUCAAGUAUGGAUUCUGACAGAGGGUAAAUCACCAACAGAAAUGUGUACAAAAUGUACAAAUGUUUGGCCAUCAUACAGAAAAUCCCAUAAAUAAAUCUCUGCAAUCGUUGGGAAAGUCUUGGUAUUCUGGAAUCCGAUGUACAUUGUAUCGAUUAGUGAUUUACCUUUUAGAUUCUGAUAUACAUAGGUUUGUAAUUGAAUACAUACAAAUACCAAAAUUUCAAAAGAAUAUUACUACCAUUAAAUAUUGCUACCGAAUUAUUCUAAUUAUUCCAAAAAAAUAGACAAAGCAUAUUUAUCCAUAAAUUUAGUUUAAGUUUAAUAACGUUUUUUUAAACUAUGUGUCAUGUAUACAAAGUUUUUAUCAAAAUAAAUCUUAUUUAAUCAUUUUAACAUGUAUAAACUCAGCAUUUAAAUGUGUAGGUUACUUGUGUAGUUAUUUUUCCAUUAAAUGUUAUAUUUCUAUUCUUUGUCAGUUUAGUUUUACUUAUAUAGGUACUUACAUUUAUUUAUAAACCCACCUAAUCCUUCUCUAUUUCUAACUAUUACUAUAAGAUACCCUGUGUAAUUAUUAGCAUAAUAUUAUUAGUGUAGGUAGAUUAGAUAUCUAGUUACUAUUAAUAGUUAGAUAUUAUGAUAAUGUUAAAAUCAUUUGCAAUCUACAUCAGGUACCUACCUGAGUACAACCGGAUCUAAAAAUCACUAACAAAGCACCAUAUAAUUAUAAUAUACCUAUUAUGAUUUUUUUUUUUUAAAUUUUAAGUGGGUACUUAAAUAAAUUAUAAUAGAAAUCUACCUAUCUUUGUAUUACCUAUUAACAGCAUACAAUUUCCCUAGCUUUAGUUAAAUUGAACCAACUUAUAAAAAAAAAUUGUAUAUAAGUGCUUCAAAUAAAGUAGGUACUCAUAGGUUCUCUUUUACCUAUUUAUUUUUAAAGGAAUACCAAUAUUUGUAUUAAUCAUAUUAGGUAGGUAGGUAUCUACUGUUUUCUUAUUUACUCCAGUUAAAAUGUAAAAUAAGUUGUAAUAAGAACUUCUUAUAUUUCUAUUAAAAAUUGAAUUUCAACACUUCAUAUUCAUGUUUUUAUUUUUUUAUUUCUAUUUAAUUUUGAAAUAUUUAUCAAUUAUUGUAUGUAUAUACAUACAUUUAUAUACAUAUUUAUGCAUAUCUAUAUGAUAUGAUAAGUCCCAUCCUCGAUCAUUUCUAAUAUUGCUCAUCAAUUGUAUACCUACCUACAAGCCUAUUAUUAUUUUAUUACCUUGGUAUAUAGUAGUGUCUUGGUUAUGCUUUAAAUAUGUAGGUACUCUCUUGUUACCUAUACUAUACUAUAUUCACUGACAUAUUAUACGUAAAAUUAAGAUAAUUAAGUACACAUUUUAUAAUCAAGGUUAUAAUAUAAGUAGGUAUAUAGGUUAUUUAUAUUUGUUUUUAUUUAAAUUAAAUAAAUAUAAUUAUGAGUUUGUUGGUGUCUAAAAGUUUUGCAGUUUAGUAGGAUUCAUUCUUAUUUCUCUAGGUAUGAAAAUAUUAACCUAAGUAAAUUGUUCUAUGAAUAGAAAAUGAAAAAGAAACCAUUUGAAUUAAUAAAAAAAAUAAAUAAAUUGAUCUUUCUUUUUUAAUAAGUGUACUUCCUAUAGGUAAAUUUCCUUUCUCCUUUUUUCCAUCUAGCUUACUAAAAUAUUUUUAUCAGAGCCCUACCCUUCUAGACAUACCUUUCUGAUUUCACUUUCUUGAAAGCCCUCUACUAUUCUGCUUUCAUAUUCUUGGCAUUACAUUCUCUUUGAAUAUUUUUAAUAAACAUCUAGUAGUUUUUCAUACUACCUAUGUAUCCUCUCUCAUUUAAAUGAGUGGUUAUUUGCGUACAGUUUUACAUUUUAUUAAUGUAAUUUAUUAUAUUAAAUUAUGAUUAUAGUUAUAGCUUUCAAGGCAUUGCCAAUUAAUUUUACAAAUAUAUUAAAUUAAAACAUUUAUUACAAUAUACCUACAUUUGUAUUCUUAUGUACCUAUAAAUAUACCCAAAGUAAAUACUUACCUGAAUCAAAUUCCAGAAUUGAGUUUGACUGUUUCAUUUAAAAAAUAGUAUUCUGCAAGAAAUAUACUUAUACAUAUUUUUAUUUUUAGUUAAUAAUUAACUACACAAUAUGAUACAGCUUGGUCUAGUUGCAGCUUUGCACCUAUCUGCCUAAUUUGAAAAAUAUUACAAAUCUUAUGUUAUGUUCAAAUUUGACCUAAUUUUAAGAAUUAGUUACCUGCAUAACUCAUUUCUAAAAAAUGUGCAAAGUGAAAGUUAUUCUAAAAUAAUUAAUGAUUAAAUCCUUAGGUAGUACAAGAUUUAUAACACAAUUGGUAUGGUUAAAUGUGUAAUGACUAAUAGGAAUAACCAAAUGCAUCCUACAUUUGCCUGUUUAUUCAAUGUUUUAUGCAUCCUCGGUUCAACACAUAAACAUGGACAAUUAGAUUCACAGUUUAAACAUAUCUGGAUAUAUUACAUAAACAAAUAAUAACUUAUUAGCAUACUGAUUGAAAUUAUUUUUCUUGACAUUUUCGCACAAAAAGGCAUAUUUUUUUUAAAUGGCUAAACCAAUAAUCACAAAACAAAUGUAUUUUGAAAACUUAAAGUCUCUACUUUACAAUGACACCUUUAUCAUACAAAUUUGUAUUUAUUUUUAUUCUUUAUUUUCAAUUAUUUGUUUAAAAAUUUGAAAUUUAGAACUAAAAUGUAGGUAGAUAGUACUCCUAUAUACCUAUACCUAUUAAAAUAAUUUUUGUUUAUUAUAGGUAAAUACUUUCAAUGGAUAUGUUCUUUAUAUAUUUAGAAAUUAAUACAAUUCUCAAUAUACCUAUAGUAAAUUAAAAUUAUAUUUUCUACUGUAAAAAUAUAUAUUAUUUACCUACUGGGUAAACAUCAGUUCACAAUUUGCAUAAUUUAUCCCUGGCCGUUUUAUGAGUAAUUUUUAAUUUGGUUGAAUUAAUAUAUAGUUUAUCAAGUGUGUUUUGCUCAGUGGCUGAGGCCUCAACUGUCUCAGUUAGCUAGUUUUUGGUAACUAUUUGUUUUCUUAUUAGAUAUGACUAGUCGCUACUGUUCUGAGCAAAAACCACUUAUGUGUAAUAACUUUUAAUGAAACUAGGGUUUUCAUGCUACAAUCAUUUUAUAAUAAAUUUUUAGAUAAAAAUCACAGACUUUAUGUUCUGCUCUCGGUGCAGUUUAAUAGCCAGCCAUUAUCACUUGUAGAAAAUUACUUUAAGGAAAUACCAUUUGAUCAGUAGUUCAACAAUUGGCCAUAGUGGCUAGCCGUGCAUAGGAAAUCAUACCUUUAUUGGCUAGUUGAUGAUUAAGCACUUCAUUACAUAAAUAAACCGAGGAGAAUAUUUAUGUCAUGCUAUAUUUACUAAGUUUAUACUGAUACAUUAUAUUAUAGAUAUUUCUAUAUUGAUAAAUAUACCUAACAAUCAAAUAUCAUAUAUAAAAUAUUGGAUAUAUUUUAUAGCUACAGUUUUAUUAUAUUUUUGAUUUACAUAGAUUUAUAUAUAUAUAUAUAUAUCUUUUACUAUAUUAGGUAAUUAAGAUGGGCUGCAUAUCUAUUAUAUAAUAUUAUAAUAGUUAAACUGGUAGUAUCACUACCCACAGUGAAACUUGUAGUUAAGGGUACCAUUUAAAAUUAUCAAUAUUAUAAAAAAAAUAUAUAUUUAUAAUAUUGUUUAAAUUAUUUUCUCAAUAUAAGUCUUAAUAAAAACCGGUAAAAAUAAAUCUAUAGGUAAAUGCAUAUCUAAAUAAAGUCACAUCUUUGUUUUAGCUUUGAAAUAUUCAAUAAUAUUUGAUAAUAUAUAAUAUUUAUAUAGGUUUAAAUCUUAAACUUGAAUUUCUAACAAUACUUUUAAAAACAAGACUAUACAUAUAUGUAUAAAAUAAUAUCACGUAUCUACUUAAUAUACAAGUGCUUCAAUUAAUACUAAGAUUAAUACUUAUAAAUCUAACAUGAAAUUGUGACAAUUUUAAAAAAUUAUAUUUUUUUUUAUUCAAUAUACAUAAUAUAUUUUAACUGGUAUGAAACAUGUAUCAAAUAUAUUUUUAACAUAAUUUUAAUUUUUUUUAAAGGUUUUAUUGAGCCAACAUCAAGAAAAACACCCAAUUUUAAUUUUAAAAGAUAUCAAAUUUCAAGAACUGAAGUCAAUGUUAGAUUACAUGUAUCGAGGUGAAGUAAAUAUUUCUCAAGAAGAACUUGGUACAUUUUUGAAAGCGGCUGAAUCUCUUCAAAUCAAAGGUUUAACAGAAAGUGCUGGUAUUGGAGUUCGUGAUACUUCAGAUUUUGAGGAUCCAGUAUCUAAACGUUUUGACAACAGAAAACAACCACCUUCUUUAUCAUCAGUCAGUUCUAACUCUCCUACUAUUUGGAACCAAAAUGACACUGUACGUACGUAUUCAAGACCAAGAGAUGGUAGUUUAUCUCCAACCAGUAAAAAACGGAAAUUACAACGAACAAAUGGACCUGAUGAUCAUCAUCAUGAUAAUGGUGAUGAUAGUAUGACUGAAUCUGAACCUCAAGGUGUAGAAAAAUCACCCACUAAUAAUAAUAAUAUUCCUUCUUCGGGCAAUAAGGUAGUUAUUAAAACUGAACAUUAUCGUAAAUCAUGUUCACCAGAAAAAGAAGUGCAUAAGGUAACUGAAAAUCAGGUGGGUAAACCAAAAGUAGAAUCAAUUUCUGGAGAUCGGCAAGAGUGUUUGACAGAAAUGUCCUAUGACGACAGUGUAGAAGAUAUGCCAUUAGAAGAAGAAGAAGAAGAAUAUGAAGAAAAUGAAUUGUCUCAGCCUGGAACUUCACAAGGAGAUACCAAUCACACCGGUAAAUAUUUAAAAAUAAAUUUGAUUUUAAGUUAAAUGUCAGUACAUAUAACUCGAGUAUAAUUUCUUUUUUCCAUUCUUAUAGCAAAGCCACAAACAAAUUCAUGGCAGUUAGAAACAACUAAUCAAGAUAGCACGAAUACUGUUAAUACACCAAUGGAUUGUAAAGGUAAGACUUCUAAAAUAUAUUUGUAAAAAAAAAAAAAAAAAAAAGAUACAUAAAUAAUUAAAUUUUCAACGGAUAAAGUGAACAAAUUAAUUUUAGUGUUAAAUGUGUAUCCAAUAUGCAUGAAAAAAAAAAGAACAAAUCAUUUUUAUUAUUAUAUGGAUGAGGUACCUACAUGUAAAUUUGUAUUAUUACCUAUUAUUUUUUUUUUUUUAAGUACCUACCCAUUAACAAAAACAAAUUUAAAAAAUAAUGUAUACCUAGGUAUGUUGAAUCACAUAAAAAAUAUAUAAUUAUUAAAGUUAAUUUUUUGAAAUAUCAUUUAUGAUUAGAUAUUUUUUUGUAUAAAUAAAAUAAAAUAAAAGGCUUAAAUACUAGGUAUCCUUUUGAGAAUGUUGUAAUACAUUUAAAUCAAAUUUGAAUUUUUACUAUUUGGAAAAAUUGGAAAAACUAGAUUCAAGUACAUUUACUUAAGAUCAAAUAAAUAUUGGUUUAUUUUAUACACCUAUUUAAAAUUAAUAAUUUAUGUAUAGGCAAAUUAUAUUUAUAUGUGUUAUUUUUUAUUCUACUUUCCAAGUUGGUUAACAAAAAUGAUUCUAUUAACACACUAUUGUAUUAUAAUAUGCAUGUUAUUAUGAGUUUGGUUUAUUUUAUAUGCAUGUAUCUGAGCUUGGUUUCAUGGUUUGCUUUUAUAGUUUUUUUUUAUAAAACUUGUAAAUAUUUGCUUAAAUUUUUGUAUUAUAUCUUAGAUCAUAGUAUUUUAGCGAACAAUGAAAUUACAGGUAAACAUAAGUAAGUUUUAUUUUAAUAAUUAUAUUAUAUCUUGUACUCUUCACCAAAUGAUAAAUUAAGGUUAUCUAGCGCGAUUGUAUAUAUAUAUACCAUAUUAAAAUCUGAAAUUUAUUUUAAUAAUGAUGUGAAGAUUUCCUCUGAGAAUGACCAGAUUACUAGCAUUUCUUAUCUUUAUUCACUGUUUAAAUAUAGACAAGAUUAUGAUUCAAAUUGUAAUACAAACAGAUCUACUAAGUGUGAUUAAAGUCCAAAUAAAUAUUAACUACUGUUGAUGGAUAAUGAGAAUUAAGAUCUACAAAUUUAUUUUAUUGUUACAUUUAAUUUUAGUCACGUUGCUUACAAAUUAUAAGAUACUAUAUAAGAAAAUGUAUUGAUUGUAUAUUAUGUUAUAGUAAAUUGUCAUGUCAAUUUACAUUUAAAAAAACAAGUGCUGUUUUAAUUUUUUUACUAAUUAUCAUUUAUUGGAGCAUUUUUCAUUUAGUAUAAGUUAUAUUUCAUAGAAUAUUUUUUUUCCUUGUAAAUUCUAUCUAGUUUUUAAAUACAACAAUAAAAAUAACAUUAUAGGAAUCAAUAAUUAAUAAUUCAAGAUAAUAAAUUGUUUAAUAGAAUUCUUUGUUUAGUUUUUUUUCAUUUUAAUGAGCAACUACUUUUUUUCUGACACCACUCGCCAUACAGGAUAUAAUAAAACAUUCCUUAUCUGUGGCCUUUCUUUGAUAUCUUAAUACAGGUUUAUCAUUGACCAUUUGACAGAGCACAAAGUUUGUUUCUUAUGAUCAGUAUUCAUGUUGGUAAAAUUGUUUAACUGCUAUUAGUCCUUAUAGUAUUAGAACCAAAAAAAAUUAUAGACAUCUGUACUAAAUUAGUAAUUCUAAUAAUUUAAAAGUUGUUAUUAAACAUAUGAAAUAUUUGAUAAAAUAAAUAAAAAAAAUGUUUCUUUAUUUUAUUAAUACCACUACAAUUUUUAUUUUCCAAAAACGUUAUACUCAUAAUAAUAAUUAGUGUUAUAAAAAUAUAAUUAAUAACCAUAUAUCAUUUGUAAAAAAAUUAAAGUCCUAAUAAUUGUGCUUUAACUACUUAUGAAAUCCUUUAGGUGAAAUGGUUUUUAUUUUUGUACAAAAUUUAAUUUUCCAUUUCUUCAAUGGACCUUCAAAACUUAAAACUUUAAAUUUGAAUAACUGCAAAUAUGUAUUUUACAGAAUUUUAAAAGUCCCCCCCUAUAAUUAAAAUUAAAAAUAUGAAUGUGUUUCAUACAAUUUUCCUAUGUUUUCUUACAGUUUUUUCAAUGCAGGUACAAUGUAACCAUUCUUUAAUUAAAUUUUCAUUAUCUUAUGCUUAAUACAGUAUUGUUAUUAUUCUGAAAUGUAUGAAAUCAAAAUAUUAUAUUGACAUAUAUUUUAUAAGGUAUUCUUCAAAACCUAUUCCUAAUUUAUUAAAUAUAAAGAUAAAGAAAACAAAAACAUAAAUAAUUCAAAAUUGUAAAAUAAAAUAUAAAAGUAUUUAAUUCAAUUAUAUAGAAUAAAUAUCUAUUAUUGAUAUUUAUUAGUGAUUAAUGGUAAAAUUAAUGUAUUUAAUUAUAUGAUAUUAAAUAAAACAAAUAAAUUGUAUCAUGAUGCAACAUUUAUCUAAUUGCCUAUUAGCCAUACCAAUUAAUAUUUUUCUCAAAAAUUCCUAACUUAAAAUGUAUGCAUUACCUACAUUUAGUAUUUACUUAUAUUUAGAUCUUUUAUAGAUGAAGUGUUGUUUUUUAUAUAUUCAAUUUAAUUUGUAUUUCUAAUAUGCUACAUAAGCAAUUAUCUUUUUAGAAACAAGUGUUUACUAAUUAAAACUAUAUAUCAUAGAAUUAAUAAAUCCCAGAAAAAAGUUGGUUUCAGAAAGCUCAAUACUUAGAUGUUGAAACCGCAUUUAAUUGACUGUCCACCUAAUAUAUUCUAAAUUGAAUGAUUGUUCUAUUAAGUAUCAUAAUUUUUUUUUUUUUUUUUUUUUCAUAAAUAAUUGACACUGAAUUAUAGUUAAUUAUAUACAUAAGCAUUUUAAAUUUAAUUUUUAAAUUAAAAACAGCAAAAUAUGUUAGUUUUGAUCAAUAAAAAAAGAAAUAACCAAAUUCAUAGUCUCCCAUUGUCAUUCAAAUACUGUACUAAUAAUAUAUAUUCCAUAAAUUAUUUAAUUCACAUAUUCAUUAUAAACAGAUAUUGUAUAAAAAACAUGCAUCUUGAAACGAAAAUAAAUAAAUAAAAUAGGUAACUCAUUAUAUUUUGAUUUGAUAUUAUUUAUAUUUAAAUUAUUAUACUCAUUUACAUAUUAUGCAGUAUCAUUUAAAUUUGAAUUAAAAGUAAUACUUUUUUAUUUUAAUUUGUAUAUGAGAGAUACAUAGUAAAAAUCUAAGUGUAUUUUCAGAUAUUUUAAUAACAGCCUCUGAUAUUUUAAUAUUUAUAACACAAUUUACACUCAGUGUUUUUUUUUUAUUGUUUUACAAAGUAAUUAUUUUAUCAUGAACCAGUAAUUUUCUUGGAGGGUUUUUAGUGAAGUUGAUUUCUGUUAGGUUUUUUUUUAAUUGUUUAAGCUUUUUUUAAAAAAAAACUUAUUUAAUAAUUAAUAAUAAGCAUAAUAAAUUGCAUAUCUAUUUUUAAAUGUUUAAAAUAUUAUUUAAUGAUCAAUUGAUGAUAAAUAACUCUUCUAGUCUAAAUUCAGUUCUAUAGCUCAUAAACAGUAAAUCUGAUAUUAGUGUUACGAAUAUCAACAUUUCUAGAAAAUUUGAAUCUUUGACUGAAAAGGAGGGAGAGUGCUAUUUAAAAAUACAAAGUGGAUACUUAUUUCAAUUGUAAAAAGUAAAAUUUAAAAUUUAAAAAUAAUGUUGAAGUAAACAAUUUUAUAAUAGUUAAAAAAAAAAAAAUUGAAAUCAAAUUGACUUAAAAUUCUCUGUGAAAAUUGGCUCAUAAUAAAACAAAUUAUUCUGUAUAUUGUAUAUUAUAAUAUUAAAUCUGGAUUUUUUUAUUUUAUACAAAUAUUUGUUACAAUAUGGGCUUUGUUUUUGUUUUUUUUUUUAUAUUUGUAUGAAUGAAGAGAUUGCCAUUGUUUACAAAAAAAUUAACUUAAAUGUAUUUAACUUAUUAAUCGUAUACUUUCAAAUGAUCAUUAUUCCAGUAAUCAUCAGCAUGUCAUGUUAAUUAUUGAAUAUUAAAAAAAAAAAACACAUGUCAUAUAAUAUAUAUAAGCAAAAGCAAUACAUAUUUGAAUGUAUAUUAUUUUGUUAUUAGACAGACUAAGAGUAAUAUUUUGUGUUAGUCAUGCUGGUACACAUUGAUUUUUAUUCUGUCUUAUUCAUUAAUUUUUGAAGAGAGAAAAACCCGCAAAUCCGGAAAUGGAAAUAUUGUACAUAUUUUAAAUUAUAUUCUUAACUAAUAAUGGGCAUGGAUGUACUAACUUGGUCCGGUUAGAUUACAAACAAUUUUUUAUUAUUAUUAUUGUUAUUAUUAUUCUGGAAACUGUAUGUGGUAUGUGUGUUGUGUGUGCUUUCCUUAGCAAUACGCUGUACGAGGUGCGGCCGUCUUUACAAAUUGAAGAGCUCAUUGUUGAACCAUCAGCGCUGGGAGUGCGGUAAAGAGCCGCAAUUCAAAUGCUACAUGUGCUCAUACAAAGCAAAACAGAAAGCUCACUUGUUGACGCAUAUGAAGUACAGGCAUAAAACUGAUAAUAAUAUGAUCAAAAUAGAAUAUUUUUAUUAACAUAUUAUUAUAUUCCACAUUUUGAAGUUAUCUAUUAUACAGGAAAGAGUGCUCCAAUAUUUUAUUUUUAAUAGGAUUAGGAAAUAAACUAUAAUUUAGUUACUUGUCAUCAUUACUGUAUUUUUAAAAUAUAUCUACUGAUUUUCCAGUUAUAUGUGUAGAUAGUGUUAACAUUUAUGAACUAGACUAAUGGUAAUAAUAUAUAAUAUGUGUAUUAUGUAUAUUAUAUAUACAAUGAUAUAUAACUAUUAUAUUUUUUUUUUUUCAUAUAUUAUUAUUAAAGGGCUGUGUUUUGUAUAUUUGUAAACUAGGUGUUUCAAUUGUUUUUACUUUAAUUUUAACAGUAUUAUAUAUAUAUAUAUAUUUACUUUAAAUUAAACAUUAA